UUUGUUAACCACUGAGCCACAAUGGGAACUCCCAAUUAAUCGUUUUUUAAAGGAAGCAUCUCAAGGGCCACAUAAUUCGAAUGUGUCAAGUGCCAUGGGAUUCAGGGAUGAAAAAUUCCCUGCAGCUCUAAAGCAAGCAUUAUAAUUUGAGGUUUCCUGACAGUUUUUGAAAGAAAAGACAUAUUAACCUUUCUUUUCCAGGCCAAAUGCCAAGUUAGGUAAUUACCCUUUGCCCGCUUUCUUUCCCCAAGCUGUUUAAUUAGAUAAGAACUCUGCCUUCAUUUCCUUUCAUAAACUGAAUUGUGAUGUUGCCACAUGCCUUUCAACAACUGUUAAUGCCCUCGUUUGCUGAAUGCUUUUUCCUUCGGAACAGAAGAGAUUUUGCCAUGAAGUAUUCGGCUCUCCGCAGGGUACAAACACUUUCCAAGGGUUAGGGUGCGAAUUCUCAUGUUUCUGAACACUAGAUUCUGAAGCAGAAUUCAGCUUCAAUUGUGCUCCAGGAGGAAUUAAUAAACUAUACCUUCCUUGCUAGUCCUGGUAUGUCUGACAAAGGUUAAGGGCAAAGCUUUAAUAACUUGCCCAAGAAACAAUGUUAACUUGCAGUCAAUUCCCCACUCCACACCCUCCCGCCUCCUUGAAAAACUUCCCAAAGGAACAAUGCGUUCACAGCGUCACAGAAGACUGCAGUCCGCUGACCUCACCAUUUUAUCAACAGCAUGACUUUUCCACAACAGCAGAACUGCAGUGAGCUAAAUGCAAUGCCUUGUACUCAGAAACAACAGGGUUCUAGUACCAACCACCCUAUAAUAGCAAAGUUAUUUUAGGGAAGUUACUCAGUUUCACAAAGCCUCUUUCCUCAGGCUUACAUAUUUUUUCACUUAAAAUGUGUUGGAACUGACCCAUAUCAGCACAUGUGUUCCAUUUUAUUAGGUUUUUAAUGGCUACGGGACAGUCCAUUAUAUAGCUGGACCGUGGUUUACCUGUUGAUGGACAUUUAGGCUUCUUUCAAUCUUUGUUCUGGAAGGCAGUGCUGGAAUGUGGGUGGAUCACUGCAUACACGGAAAUAUGUCUUUGUAAGACAUUUUUUUGAGUGGAAUUGCUGGGUAAAAAAGAUCUUUGUGUUUGAAAUUUGGAUAGAUAGUGCCACAUUGUUCUGCAUUGUAGUUGCCUCUGUAUUCUCACCAGCAGUGUCUGCCAGUGCUGUUUUCUCUUGGAAAUCUUUGUGGAACCGUUGGGUGAGAAUAGCAUCUCAACAGGAGUUUAACAUGCAAUGCUCUUGGUCUAAGGGUGGCCCCCUGGUUGUUCCAAAGACAUAUGAUUAAAUUGUACCUUAAUCUCCAACUGAAUUUAUCAAAGCCUAAAUUUCUGUACCUAUUUUAAUAUAUUAUUGGAGUUAUGACACUGCUUUACUGAUUUUUGGGUCUUUUCUUAUGCAAAGAAAGCAUUGUUUUAACAAUUAAAAUGUUAUAAUUUAAUAUCUGAUAGAAUAUCUAUCUGUCUUCUGAUUUUUUUCAAGAAUUUUCCUAGCUAAUAUUACUUGUUUAAAUUUUUAUAUGAAAAAUCUGCUUAUCUAGUCCCUUCCUUUCGAACAAAUUUGAUGAGUUUUUUGGAGAGGGAAGUGCAUUGAAUUGAUAAUUUUUAAAGGAAGAUUUUAUAUAUAUAGAUGAUAUUGAAUCUUUUUUAUUCAAGACUGUGCUAUGUCUUCCCAUUUAACUAUUUUUAUGUCCCCCAGCAGAAGUUUAUAUGCAUAGAUGUCAUAAAGCGGAGAUACCAUGAAAAGGGUUAUAAUGGUACCUACCUCAAAGAGUUAUUGUAAUGAUUAAAUAAGGAUAAGAUACAGUGCCUGGCCCUUAACAUGCUCAAAAAAUACAGUAUAUGACAAAUACAUCCUUCAUUGCCAUAUCCUGUUAUAUGUGUGACUAAUCUAAUAAGAUAAAUCAGUCUCUCAAUAAUCUGAAAUUUCCGUGAUUAUGACUCACGCUUGGCUCUACCUUGAAAUAGAAAUGAUAUUCCUCAUCUUUGCUACUCUUCCCUUUGUCCUACUCACCUUUGUGGCAGGUUUUCUAAAGUGACUACAAGUCCCACUGGACGCAUCUGUGACAUCCUUGAUGGAUAUGAGUUAAUUAAACAGGCAUAUUCACUAAGUGUGAACAUCUUUGGUGGGAGGUAAGACUCUGCUCAUCCUGAUGGGAGGAGUUAAAGGAAAUAGAAAAUUCAGUAUCAAGCUCUUCGUGCCAUUACUUGAUACAAUUUCCAAAGCUACAAACUUCCUUGGAGGUUGUGGCACCCUUCCCCCCGCCGCCAAUGACUCAUAUGGCACUUGCUCUGAGCUAUCUUGCAGGUGAAGAGGACCCCGGAAGUCAAGUUUUUGAUUUGGAAGGAUGGGGUAUUCUUAAUUAAUGGCCCUACAUUUUCACGGGACUCAUCAUCUGAAAAAGAAAGUUGUCAGUUCUGGCAGGAUGAGGACCAUGUGUUUUGUGUUUGGACUCCAUUCCAGCUCAGAGUUGGACACAUCUUUGGUGCUCAAGAAGAUACUGAACUAUGCAGUGGACAUGUGUGGGUGCUCCUGGUUUUUAUAAACAAUGACUAUUGGAAUUUUUAAAUUACUUUCUGACGAUAAGUUCUUGGAAGUAGGAUUACUAGGUCAAAGGAUAUAAACAUCUUUGAGGCCUCUUGAGAAAAUACAGAUUGCUUUCCAGAAAAUUUUAUACUCCUACUAGCAGUGAAUGAGAUUUCCUGUUUCAUUGUCCUCUUAUCAGCACUAUUAGGAAAAGGCAUUAUUUUUUGCUAACUUGGUAGUAAGAAAGGUUCCCUUCUCCUCUUUGAAUUUUGCCUUUGUUAAGUAGGGAGAUGGACAUUUUUUCAUCUAUUUUUUUAGUUCAUUUAUAUUUGCUCUGAGUUGUCUGGUGUCCUUUGCCCACUUUUAUUCUGGAAUUUUCAUGUUUUUGUAAUCACUUUUUAGAAGCUCUGUAUGUUGUAAAGAUGCUAGAUUGUAAUCCUGAUAGUCACUGAUGGUUUUCCCCUCUACUUGGAUGUUUCUAUUUUCAUUAUAUGUUCUUUAUUAUUUUUUUUUUAUCUUACAAUUUUCUUAACUUAAUAUUUUCAAGUCAUCAGGUCUGUCUUCCUUUUCCUUAGGAUUUCUGACAUGACAGAGUGCCCUUCACGACUAGUGAUCAAAUAUUCAAUUAUUUUUUUUUUCUUGGCAUGUACAGUUAGAUUUCUUUGCCUGUGUGUGUUUGUGUUUGUGUGUGUGUAUACCCCUGUGUAUGCAUUUGUGUGCAUGUGUCAUUGGGUGUCAACCACUGGGAUUUAAUGUAAAUGGGGAGCCAUCUUCUGUUUCGCAAAAGCCCUGACCCAUUGUCUCAAUAUGAUUUGUCGAAUAAAAUUUCCUUUCCCAAUGA